UCUGAUUAUUUGUCCUAUGGACAAUAUAUCUGUAUGCAUUUGUUCGAUGCACAAACCUCCUCCUGCAGAUUUUAAACAAUUAUUAGAUAAGGCUAUGGAAGGAUACCAUAUGCUUAAAGGUUCAAAGUUGAAGAAAAAAAUGCUUUGGGUCUCUCUUAAAUCUCAUAAGCAAAAAGGAAACUAUGAGUGCGG